UACGGAGGAUGCAAGCGUUAUCCGGAUUUAUUGGGCGUAAAGAGCUUGUAGGCGGUUUGUCGCGUCUGCUGUGAAAAUCCGGGGCUCAACCCCGGACUUGCAGUGGGUACGGGCAGACUAGAGUGUGGUAGGGGAGACUGGAAUUCCAAGUGUAGCGGUGGAAUGCGUAGAUAUUUGGAGGAACACCAGUGGCGAAGGCGACUUUCUGGUCUGUAACUGACACUGAGGCUCGAAAGCGUGGGGAGCGAACAGGAUUAGAUACCCCCGUAGUCCCU
rnacentral:rRNA from 1 species